AACAAGGUUUCCGUAGGUGAACCUGCGGAAGGAUCAUUAUUGAAUUUUAAUGAAGAGUUUGGUUGUAGCUGGUCUAUUUAUUUAGGCAUGUGCACACCUUUCUCUUUCAUCCCACACACACCUGUGAACUUGUGAGACAGUUGGGGAAUUUAUUUGUUAUUUUUUGUAAUAAAAUUAUAAUAAGUCAUUGAACCCUUCUGUCUACUCAACUCAUAUAAACUCAAUUUAUUUUAAAUGAAUGUAAUGGAUGUAACACAUCUCAUACUAAGUUUCAACAACGGAUCUCUUGGCUCUCGCAUCGAUGAAGAACGCAGCGAAAUGCGAUAAGUAAUGUGAAUUGCAGAAUUCAGUGAAUCAUCGAAUCUUUGAACGCACCUUGCGCUCCUUGGUAUUCCUUGGAGCAUGCCUGUUUGAGUAUCAUGAAAUCUUCAAAAUCAAACUUUUUGUUAACUCAAUUAGUCUGAUUUUGGCAUUGGAGGUCUUUGCAGCUUCACACCUGCUCCUCUUUGUGUAUUAGCUGGAUCUCAGUGUUAUGCUUGGUUCCACUCAGCGUGAUAAAUUAUCUAUCGCUGAGGACACCGUAAAAAGUGGCCAAGGUAAAUGCAGAUGAACCGCUUCUAAUAGUCCAUUGACUUGGACACUAUUUUUAUGAUCUGAUCUCAAAUCAGGUAGGACUACCCGCUGAACUUAAGCAUAUCAAUA
rnacentral:misc_RNA from 1 species